UACGAAGGGGGCUAGCGUUGCUCGGAAUUACUGGGCGUAAAGGGCGCGUAGGCGGAUAUCUAAGUUGGGGGUGAAAUCCCGGGGCCCAACCUCGGAAUUGCCUUCAAAACUGGAUAUCUUGAGUUCGGGAGAGGUGAGUGGAACUCCGAGUGUAGAGGUGAAAUUCGUAGAUAUUCGGAAGAACACCAGUGGCGAAGGCGACUCACUGGCCCGAUACUGACGCUGAGGCGCGAAAGCGUGGGGAGCAAACAGG
rnacentral:rRNA from 1 species